rnacentral:rRNA from 1 species
UGAGGAAUAUUGGGGCAAUGCCCGGAAGGGUGACCCAGCAACGCCGCGUGGAGGAUGAAUGUCGUAAGAUUGUAAACUCCUGUUAGAGGGGAAGAAUAAUUCCGAUUGAAUCGGAACUUAACUGUACCCUCACAGAAAGACCCGGCUAACUACAUGUCAGCGGCCGCGGUAAUACGUAUGGGGCAAGCGUUGUCCGGAUUUACUGGGUGUAAAGGGCGCGCAGGCGGGUUGACAAGUCAGAGGUGAAAUCCUACAGCUUAACUGUAGAACUGCCUUUGAGACUGUCAAUCUUGAGUACGGAAGAGAGAGAUGGAAUUCCAAGUGUAGGGGUGAAAUACAUAUAUAUCUGGAAGAACACCAAUGGCGAAGGCGAUCUCUUGGUCCAUUACUGACGCUGACGCUCAAAAGCGUGAGGAGCAAACACGAUUAGAUACCCUGGUACUCCACGCUGUAAACGAUGAAUACUAUGUGUCGGGUCGAAAGGUUCGGUCCCUAAGCUAACGCAUUAAGUAUUCCACCUGGAGAGUACUAUCGCGAGGUUG